CCCAUGUGAAACUCCUUCGACGAGUCGAGUUGUUUGGGAAUGCAGCUCAAAAUGGGUGGUAUAUUUCAUCUAAAGCUAAAUACCGGCCAGAGACCGAUAGCGCACAAGUAGAGUGAUCGAAAGAUGAAAAGCACUUUGGAAAGAGAGUCAAAAAGUACGUGAAAUUGUUGAAAGGGAAGCGCUCGCAACCAGACCUGCCCGCGGCCGAUCAACCGUCCUUCUGGGCGGUGCACUCGGCCGCGAUCAGGCCAGCAUCGGUUCGGGCGGCCGGAUAAAGGCCCGGGGAACGUAGCUCCUCUCGGGGAGUGUUAUAGCCCCGGGUGCAAUGCGGCCCGCCUGGACCGAGGACCGCGCUUCGGCUAGGAUGCUGGCGUAAUGGUUGUGAGCGGCCCGUCUUGAAACACGGACCAAGGAGUCUAACAUCUAUGCGAGUGUUUGGGUGUCAAACCCAUGCGCGUAAUGAAAGUGAACGGAGGUGGGAACCCAUUCGGGCGCACCAUCGACCGAUCCAGAUGUCUUCGGAUGGAUUUGAGUACGAGCAUAGCUGUUGGGACCCGAAAGAUGGUGAACUAUGCCAGAAUAGGGUGAAGCCAGAGGAAACUCUGGUGGAGGCUCGCAGCGGUUCUGACGUGCAAAUCGAUCGUCAAAUUUUGGCAUAGGGGCGAAAG
rnacentral:rRNA from 1 species